UACGUAGGUCCCGAGCGUUGUCCGGAUUUAUUGGGCGUAAAGCGAGCGCAGGUGGUUUAUUAAGUCUGGUGUAAAAGGCAGUGGCUCAACCAUUGUAUGCAUUGGAAACUGGUAGACUUGAGUGCAGGAGAGGAGAGUGGAAUUCCAUGUGUAGCGGUGAAAUGCGUAGAUAUAUGGAGGAACGCCGGUGGCGAAAGCGGCUCUCUGGCCUGUAACUGACACAGAGGCUCGAAAGCGUGGGGAGCAAACAGG
rnacentral:rRNA from 1 species